rnacentral:rRNA from 1 species
GUUGUUCGGAAUUACUGGGCGUAAAGGGCUCGUAGGCGGCCAACUAAGUCAGACGUGAAAUCCCUCGGCUUAACCGGGGAACUGCGUCUGAUACUGGAUGGCUUGAGGUUGGGAGAGGGAUGCGGAAUUCCAGGUGUAGCGGUGAAAUGCGUAGAGAUCGGGAGGAAGGCCGGUGGCGAAGGCGGCGCUCUGGAACAUUUCUGACGCUGAGGCUCGAAAGCGUGGGGAGCAAACAGG